rnacentral:lncRNA from 1 species
CCCGGGCGCAGAUGCCGCAUCUGAAGAAGAUGGAGCGGGUGGUCGUGAGCAUGCAGGACCCCGACCAGGGCGUGAAGAUGCGGAGCCAGCGCCUGCUGGUCACCGUCAUUCCCCACGCGGUGACAGGUGAGGCGCGCCGGGGCGGGGGUGCGUGCGCGCCUCGGCCUCCCUCCACCUCUGUCUCUCCCGUGCAGGCAGCGACGUCGUGCAGUGGUUGGCCCAGAAGUUCUGCGUCUCGGAGGAGGGUGAGCGCCCUGCCUCCCACUGGGCCCUGGGGUCACUGGGCUGGUGGCCUAGGCCUGGGUUUUCCUGGAGUCUGGCAGUUCUCAGAGCCCUGCUGAGCGCGCUGUGCAAGGGUGGGGAGCACAUAGGGGAGAGGAGGCCCGGCUCGU